rnacentral:lncRNA from 1 species
CUCAGGAUAUAAGCAGGUUAUAACCAGGUAAUGUCUCAGGUUAUAACCAGGUUAUAACCAGGUAAUGUCUCAGGAUAUAACUAGGUUAUAACCAGGUAAUGUCUCAGGAUAUAACCAGGUUAUGACCAGGUUAUAACCAGGUAAUGUCUCAGGAUAUAACCAGGUUAUAACCAGAUUAUAACCAGGUAAUGUCUCAGGAUAUAACCAGGUAAUGUCUCAGGAUAUAACCAGGUUAUAACCAGGUUAUAACCAGGUAAUGUCUCAGGAUAUAACCAGGUUAUAACCAGGUAAUGUCUCAGGAUAUAACCAGGUUAUACCAGGUAAUGUCACAGGUUAAAAUCAGGUUAUCACUAGGAUAUAACCAGGUAAUGUCCCAGGUUAAAACCAGGUUGUAACCAGGUAAUAACCAAGUUAUAACCAGGUUAUGUCUCAGGUUAUAACCAGGUUAUAACCAGGUAAUGUCUCAGGAUAUAACCUGUUUAUAACCAGGUUAUUACCUGGUAAUGUGUCAGGUUUUCUAUGAUUGACACCUGGUACAGCCUAUGGGCGUUCAGGCAUUCCGAAGCUCUUCCGGGGGAAUACGCUGUUUGACCCGAGCAUCAUCACAGGGACUCUCGGCGACUGCGCGGCCGAAUGUGCACAACGUUACUGCACAGUUCUGGUUUCAAGGAAGCGGAGAAAAACCCAGAAUUACCGAGAGCCGUUUGGCUUCAAAUCCGUAUAAAGGCGGAAGGCGGUAGCCAGGUAAUAACCAGGUUAUAACCAGGUGAUGACCAGGUAAUGUCUCAGGUUAUAACCAGGUUAUAACCAGGUUAACCAGGUAAUGUCUCAGGUUAUAACCAGGUUAUAACCAGGUAAUGUCUCAGGAUAUAAUCAGGUUAUAACCAGGUUAUAACCACGUAAUGUCUCAGGAUAUAACUAGGUUAUAACCAGGUAAUGUCUCAGGUUAUAACCAGGUUAUAACCAGGUAAUGUCUCAGGUUAAAACCAGGAUAUAACUAGGUUAUAACCAGGUAAUGUCUCAGGUUAAAACCAGGUAAUAACCAGGUAAUGUCUCAGGUUAUAACGAGAUUAUAACCAGGUUAUAACCAGGAAAUGUCUCAGGUUAUAACCAGGUAAUAACCAAGUUAUAACCAUGUUAUUACCAGGUGGUGUCUCAGGUUAUAACCAGGAAAUGUCUCAGGUUAAAACCAGGUUAUAGCCAAGUAAUGUCUUAGGUUAUCACCAGGUUAUAACCAGGUAAUGUCUCAGGAUUUAACCAGGUUAUAACAAGGUAAGGUCUCAGGAUAUAACCAGGUUAUAACCAGGUUAUGACCAGGUAAUGUCUCAGGUUAUAACCAGGUUAUGACCAGGUAAUGUCUCAGGUUAUAACCAGGUAAUGUCUCAAGAUGAAACCAGGUUAUAACCAAGUUAUGACCAGGUAAUGUCUCAGGUUAUAACCAGGUUAUAACCAGGUAAUGUCUCAGCUUUUAACCAGGUUAUAACCAGGUAAUGUCUCAAGUUAUAACCAGGUUAUUACCAGGUAGUGUGUCAGGUUAAAACCAGGUAAUAACCAAGUAAUAACCAGGUUGUUACCAGGUAGUUUCUCAGGUUAAUUCCAGGUUAUAACUAGGUUAUACCCAGUUAAUGUCUCAGGUUAAAACCAGGUUAUUACUAGGUUAUAACCAGGUAAUGUCUCAGGUUAAAACCAGGUUAUAACUAGGUUAUAACCAGCUAAUGUCUCAGGAUAUAACCAGGUUAUAAUCAGGUAAUGUCUCGGGAUAUAACCAGGUUAUAACCAAUUAUAACCAGGUUGUUACCAGGUAGUUUCUCAGGUUAAUUCCAGGUUAUAAUUAGGUUAUAAUGUCUCAGGUUAUAACAUGGUUAUAACCAGGUAAUGUCUCAGGUUAAAACCAGGUUAAAACCAGGUUACAACCAGGUAAUGUCUCAGGUUAUAACCAGGUUAUAACUAGGUAAUGUCUCAGGAUAUAACCAGGUUAUAACCAGGUAAUGUCUCAGGGUGUAACUGGUUAUAACCAGGUAAUGUCUCAGGAUUUAACCAGGUUAUAACCAGGUAAUGUCUAAGGAUAUAACCAGGUUCAAACCAGGUUUAAACCAGGUAAUGUCUCAGGAUAGAACUAGGUUAUAACCAAAUAAUGUCGUAAGAUAUAACCAGGUUAUAACCAGGUAAUGUAACAGGUUUAAACCAGGUUAUAACUAGGGUAUAACCAGGUAAUGUCCCAGGUUAAAACCAGGUUAUAAACAGGUUAUUACCAGGUAAUGUCUCAGGUUAUAACCAGGUAAUGUCCUAGGAUAAAACCAGCUUAUAACCAGGUAAUGUCUCAGGAUAUAACCAGGUUAUAACUAGGUUAUGACCAGGUAAUGUCUUAGUUUAUAACCAGGUUAUGACCAGGUGAUGUCUCAGGUUAUAACCAGGUUAUAACCAGGUAAUGUCUCAGGUUAUAACCAGGUAAUUUCUCAAGAUAUAACCAGGUUAUAACCAGGAUAUGACCAGGUAAUGUCUCAGGUUAUAACCAGGUUAUAACCAGGUAUUGUCUAAGUUUAUAACCAGGUUAUAACCAGGUAAUGUCUCAGGUUAUAACCAGGUUAUAACCAGGUAAUAUCUCAGUUUAUAACCAGGUUAAAACCAGGUAAUGUCUCAGGUUAUAACCAGGUUAUAACCAGGUAAUGUCUCAGGAUAUAAUCAGGUUAUAACCAGGUUAAAAACAGGUAUUGUCUCAGGAUAUUACUAGGUUAUAACCAGGUAAUGUCUCAGGUUAAAACCAAGUUAUAACCAGGUAAUGUCUCAGGUUAUAACCAGGUAAUGUCUUAGGAUAUAACCAGGUUAUAACCAGGUUAUGACCAGGCAAUGUCUCAGGUUAUAACCAUGUUAUAACCAGGUUAUGACCAGGCAAUGUCUCAGGUUAUAACCAUGUUAUAACCAGGUAGUGUCUCAGGUUAUAACCAGGUAAUGUCUCAGGUUAUAACCAGGUUAUGACCAGGUAAUGUCUCAGGUUUGUACCAGGUUAUGACCAGGUAAUGUCUCAGGUUAUAACCAGGUAAUAACCAGGUUAUAACCAGGUAAUGUCUCAGGUUAUAACCAGGUUAUAACCAGUUAAUGUCUCAGGUUAAAACCAGGUUAUAACUAGGUUAUAACCAGGUAAUGUCUCAGGUUAAAACCAGGUUAUAAACAGGUAAUGUCUCAGGUUAUAAUAUGGUUAUAACUAGGAAAUGUCUCAGGUUAUAACCAGGUAAUAACCAAGUUAUAACCAGGUUAUUACCAGGUAGUGUCUCAGGUUAAAACCAGGUUAUAACUCGGUUAUAACCAGGUAAUGUCUCAGGAUAUAAGCAGGUUAUAACCAGGUAAUGUCUCAGGUUAUAACCAGGUUAUAACCAGGUAAUGUCUCAGGGUGUAACUGGUUAUAACCAGGUAAUGUCUCAGGAUUUAACCAGGUUAUAACCAGGUAAUGUCUAAGGAUAUAACCAGGUUCAAACCAGGUUUAAACCAGGUAAUGUCUCAGGAUAGAACUAGGUUAUAACCAAAUAAUGUCGUAAGAUAUAACCAGGUUAUAACCAGGUAAUGUAACAGGUUUAAACCAGGUUAUAACUAGGGUAUAACCAGGUAAUGUCCCAGGUUAAAACCAGGUUAUAAACAGGUUAUUACCAGGUAAUGUCUCAGGUUAUAACCAGGUAAUGUCCUAGGAUAAAACCAGCUUAUAACCAGGUAAUGUCUCAGGAUAUAACCAGGUUAUAACUAGGUUAUGACCAGGUAAUGUCUUAGUUUAUAACCAGGUUAUGACCAGGUGAUGUCUCAGGUUAUAACCAGGUUAUAACCAGGUAAUGUCUCAGGUUAUAACCAGGUAAUUUCUCAAGAUAUAACCAGGUUAUAACCAGGAUAUGACCAGGUAAUGUCUCAGGUUAUAACCAGGUUAUAACCAGGUAUUGUCUAAGUUUAUAACCAGGUUAUAACCAGGUAAUGUCUCAGGUUAUAACCAGGUUAUAACCAGGUAAUAUCUCAGUUUAUAACCAGGUUAAAACCAGGUAAUGUCUCAGGUUAUAACCAGGUUAUAACCAGGUAAUGUCUCAGGAUAUAAUCAGGUUAUAACCAGGUUAAAAACAGGUAUUGUCUCAGGAUAUUACUAGGUUAUAACCAGGUAAUGUCUCAGGUUAAAACCAAGUUAUAACCAGGUAAUGUCUCAGGUUAUAACCAGGUAAUGUCUUAGGAUAUAACCAGGUUAUAACCAGGUUAUGACCAGGCAAUGUCUCAGGUUAUAACCAUGUUAUAACCAGGUUAUGACCAGGCAAUGUCUCAGGUUAUAACCAUGUUAUAACCAGGUAGUGUCUCAGGUUAUAACCAGGUAAUGUCUCAGGUUAUAACCAGGUUAUAACCAGGUAAUGUCUCAGGUUUGUACCAGGUUAUGACCAGGUAAUGUCUCAGGUUAUAACCAGGUAAUAACCAGGUUAUAACCAGGUAAUGUCUCAGGUUAUAACCAGGUUAUAACCAGUUAAUGUCUCAGGUUAAAACCAGGUUAUAACUAGGUUAUAACCAGGUAAUGUCUCAGGUUAAAACCAGGUUAUAAACAGGUAAUGUCUCAGGUUAUAAUAUGGUUAUAACUAGGAAAUGUCCCAGGUUAUAACCAGGUAAUAACCAAGUUAUAACCAGGUUAUUACCAGGUAGUGUCUCAGGUUAAAACCAGGUUAUAACUCGGUUAUAACCAGGUAAUGUCUCAGGUUAAAACCAGGUUAUAACUAGGUUAUAACCAGGUAAUGUCUCAGGUUACAACCAGGUUAUAACCAGGUAAUGUCCUGGGAUAUAACCAGGUUAUAACCAUAGACUGUAUAUAAGAUGGACAGAGCCUGCCUCCUUGCUGGGUGAAGCCACUCCGAGAACAGCACCCUCUGAUGGUGGGCUGCAGUACAGGUCAUAAAUCCCGCCUCCGACAGCAAAGCUUAAGGGACUGUGGACAAACUUCAGAAAUUUAUUACACAGAACAUAAUUUUUUCUCCCCCCUGGUUGUGAUGUUGACAUGUAGUUACAGAAAGACUGGUUUGUGCCCAAGUACUUUUUUUUCUGUACAGCUCUGUUUUAAAAGUUAUUAGGGGGUUCAUGUUUUCUAUGAUUGACACCAGGUACAGCCUAUGGGCGUUCAGGCAUUCCGAAGCUCUUCCGGGGGAAUACGCUGUUUGACCCGAGCAUCAUCACAGGGACUCUCGGCGACUGCGCGGCCGAAUGUGCACAACGUUACUGCACAGUUCUGGUUUCAAGGAAGCGGAGAAAAACCCAGAAUUACCGAGAGCCGUUUGGCUUCAAAUCCGUAUAAAGGCGGAAGGCGGUAGCCAGGUAAUAACCAGGUUAUAACCAGGUGAUGACCAGGUAAUGUCUCAGGUUAUAACCAGGUUAUAACCAGGUUAUAACCAGGUAAUGUCUCAGGUUAUAAGCAGGUUAUAACCAGGUAAUGUCUCAGGAUAUAAUCAGGUUAUAACCAGGUUAUAACCACGUAAUGUCUCAGGAUAUAACUAGGUUAUAACCAGGUAAUGUCUCAGGUUAUGACCAGGUUAUAACCAGGUAAUGUCUCAGGUUAAAACCAGGAUAUAACUAGGUUAUAACCAGGUAAUGUCUCAGGUUAAAACCAGGUAAUAACCAGGUAAUGUCUCAGGUUAUAACCAGGUUAUGACCAGGUAAUGUCUCAGGUUAUAACCAGGUUAUAACCAGGUAAUGUCUCAGGUUAUAAGCAGGUUAUAACCAGGUAAUGUCUCAGGUUAUAACCAGGUUAUUACCAGGUAAUAACCAGGUUAUAACCAGGUAAUGUCUCAGGUUAAAACCAGGAUAUAACUAGGUUAUAACCAGGUAAUGUCUCAGGUUAAAACCAGGUAAUAAACAGGUAAUGUCUCAGGUUAUAACGAGGUUAUAACCAGGUUAUAACCAGGAAAUGUCUCAGGUUAUAACCAAGUAAUAACCAAGUUAUAACCAUGUUAUUACCAGGUGGUGUCUCAGGUUAUAACCAGGAAAUGUCUCAGGUUAAAACCAGGUUAUAGCCAAGUAAUGUCUCAGGUUAUCACCAGGUUAUAACCAGGUAAUGUCUCAGGAUUUAACCAGGUUAUAACAAGGUAAGGUCUCAGGAUAUAACCAGGUUAUAACCAGGUUAUGACCAGGUAAUGUCUCAGGUUAUAACCAGGUUAUAACCAGGUAAUGUCUCAGGUUAUAACCAGGUUAUAACCAGGUAAUGUCUCAGGUUAUAACCAGGUUAUGACCAGGUAAUGUCUCAGGUUAUAACCAGGUAAUGUCUCAAGAUAAAACCAGGUUAUAACCAAGUUAUGACCAGGUAAUGUCUCAGGUUAUAACCAGGUUAUAACCAGGUAAUGUCUCAGCUUUAAACCAUGUUAUAACCAGGUAAUGUCUCAAGUUAUAACCAGGUUAUUACCAAGUAUUGUGUCAGGUUAAAACCAGGUAAUAACCAAGUUAUAACCAGGUUGUUACCAGGUAGUUUCUCAGGUUAAUUCCAGGUUAUAACUAGGUUAUACCCAGUUAAUGUCUCAGGUUAAAACCAGGUUAUUACUAGGUUAUAACCAGGUAAUGUCUCGGGUUAAAACCAGGUUAUAACUAGAUUAUAACCAGCUAAUGUCUCAGGAUAUAACCAGGUUAUAAUCAGGUAAUGUCUCGGGAUAUAACCAGGUUAUAACCAAGUUAUAACCAGGUUGUUACCAGGUAGUUUCUCAGGUUAAUUCCAGGUUAUAAUUAGGUUAUAACCAGUUAAUGUCUCAGGUUAAAACCAGGUUAUAACUGGGUUAUAAACAGGUAAUGUCUCAGGUUAAAACCAGGUUAUCACCAGGUUUAUAACCAGGGAAUGUCUCAGGAUAUAACCAGGUUAUAACCAGGUAAUGUCUCAGGAUAUAACCAGGUUAUAACCAGGUUAUGACCAGGUAAUGUCUCAGGUUAAAACCAGGAUAUAACCAGGUAAUGUAUCAGGUUAUCACCAGGUUAUAACCGGGUAAUGUCUCAGGUUAUAAUCGGGUAAUGUCUCAGGAUAUAACCAGGUUAUAACCAGGUUAUGAUCAGGUAAUGUCUCAGGUUAAAACCAGGUUAUUACUAGGAUAUAACCAGGUAAUGUCUCAGGUUACAACCAGGUCAUAACCAGGUUAUAACCAGGUAAUGUCUCAGGUUAUAACCAGGUAAUAACCAAGUUAAAACCAGGUUAUUACCAGGUAGUGUCUCAGGUUAAAACCAGGUUAUAACCAGGUAAUGUCUCAGGAUACAACCAGGUUAUGACCAGAUAAUGUUUCAGGUUAUAAACAGGUUAUGACCAGGUAAUUUCUCAGGAUAUAACCAGGUUAUAACCAGGUAAUGUCUCAGGUUAUAAUCAGGUAAUAACCAGGUUAUAACCAGGUCAAAACCUGGUUAUUACCAGGUACUGUCUAAGGUUAUAACCAGGUUAUAACUAGGUCAUGUCUCAGGAUAUAACCAGGUUAUAACCAGGUUACAACCAGGUAAUGUCUCAGGUUAUAACCAGGUCAUGACUCAGGACCAGGUAAUGUCUCAGGAUAUAACCAGGUUAUAACCAGGUAAUGUCUCAGGUUAUAACAUGGUUAUAACCAGGUAAUGUCUCAGGUUAAAACCAGGUUAAAACCAGGUUACAACCAGGUAAUGUCUCAGGUUAUAACCAGGUUAUAACUAGGUAAUGUCUCAGGAUAUAACCAGGUUAUAACCAGGUAAUGUCUCAGGUGUAACUGGUUAUAACCAGGUAAUGUCUCAGGAUAUAACCAGGUUAUAAGCAAGUAAUGUCUCAGGAUAUAACCAGGUUAUAACCAGGUAAUGUCUAAGGUUAUAACCAGGUUAUAACCAGGUAAUGUCUAAGGAUAUAACCAGGUUCUAACCAGGUUCUAACCAGGUAAUGUCUCAGGAUAGAACUAGGUUAUAACCAAAUAAUGUCGUAAGAUAUAACCAGGUUAUAACCAGGUAAUGUCUUAGGAUAUAACCUGUUUAUAACCAGGUUAUUACCCGGUAAUGUGUCAGGUUAUAACCAGGUUAUAACCAGGUAAUGUCUCAGGUUAUACCCGGGUUAUAACCAGGUAAUGACUCAGGAUAUAACCGGGUAAUAACCAGGUAAUGUCUCAGGAUCUAACCAGGUUAUAACCAGGUUAUAACCAGGUAAUAUCUCAGGAUAUAACCAGGUUUUAACCAGGUUAUAACCAGGUAAUGUCUCAGGAUAUAACCAGGUUAUAAGCAGGUUGUUACCAGGUAAUGUCUCAGGAUAUAACCAGGUAAUGUCUCAGGAUAUAACCAGGUUUUAACCAGGUUAUAACCAGGUAAUGUCUCAGGAUAUAACCAGGUUAUAAGCAGGUUGUUACCAG